rnacentral:rRNA from 1 species
CAGUAGCCGCGGGAAUACGUAGGGUGCAAGCGCUAAUCGGAAUUACUGGGCGUAAAGCGUGCGCAGGCGGUUCGUUAAGACAGAUGUGAAAUCCCCGGGCUUAACCUGGGAACUGCAUUUGUGACUGGCGGGCUAGAGUAUGGCAGAGGGGGGUAGAAUUCCACGUGUAGCAGUGAAAUGCGUAGAGAUGUGGAGGAAUACCGAUGGCGAAGGCAAUCCCCUGGGCCUGCACUGACGCUCAUGCACGAAAGCGUGGGGAGCAAACAGGAUUAGAUACCCGGGUAGUCCCUGUCUCUUAUAC